rnacentral:rRNA from 1 species
AACGAACGCUGGCGGCAUGCCUAACACAUGCAAGUCGAACGAGACCUUCGGGUCUAGUGGCGCACGGGUGCGUAACGCGUGGGAACCUGCCUUUAGGUUCGGAAUAACUUAGAGAAAUUUGAGCUAAUACCGGAUGAUGUCUUCGGACCAAAGAUUUAUCGCCUUUGGAUGGUCCCGCGUUGGAUUCGCUAGUUGUUGGGGUAAAGGCCUACCAAGGCGACGAUCCAUAGCUGGUCUGAGAGGAUGAUCAGCCACACUGGGACUGAGACACGGCCCAGACUCCUACGGGAGGCAGCAGUGGGGAAUAUUGGACAAUGGGCGAAAGCCUGAUCCAGCAAGGCCGCGUGAGUGAUGAAGGCCUUAGGGUUGUAAAGCUCUUUUAACCGAGAUGAUAAUGACAGUAUCGGGAGAAUAAGCCCCGGCUAACUCCGUG